GGCUCAGGAUGAACGCUAGCUACAGGCUUAACACAUGCAAGUCGAGGGGAAACGAUAUUGGAAGCUUGCUUCCGAUAGGCGUCGACCGGCGCACGGGUGAGUAACGCGUAUCCAACCUGCCCAUCACUUGGGGAUAACCUUGCGAAAGUAAGACUAAUACCCAAUGACGUCUCUAGAAGACAUCUGAAAGAGAUUAAAGAUUUAUCGGUGAUGGAUGGGGAUGCGUCUGAUUAGCUUGUUGGCGGGUAACGGCCCACCAAGGCGACGAUCAGUAGGGGUUCUGAGAGGAAGGUCCCCCACAUUGGAACUGAGACACGGUCCAAACUCCUACGGGAGGCAGCAGUGAGGAAUAUUGGUCAAUGGACGAGAGUCUGAACCAGCCAAGUAGCGUGCAGGAAGACGGCCCUAUGGGUUGUAAACUGCUUUAUAAGGGAAUAAAGUGAGUCUCGUGAGACUUUUGCAUGUACCUUAUGAAUAAGGACCGGCUAAUUCCGUG
rnacentral:rRNA from 1 species